rnacentral:rRNA from 1 species
AAUGAACGCUGGCGGUAGGCCUAACACAUGCAAGUCGAACGGCAGCACAGUAAGAGCUUGCUCUUACGGGUGGCGAGUGGCGGACGGGUGAGGAAUACAUCGGAAUCUACUUUUUCGGGGGGGAUAACGUAAGGAAACUUACGCUAAUACCGCAUACGCCCUACGGGUGAAAGCAGGGGAACUUCGGACCUUGCGCGAUUGAAUGAGCCGAUGUCGGAUUAGCUAGUUGGCGGGGUAAAGGCCCACCAAGGCGACGAUCCGUAGCUGGUCUGAGAGGAGGAUCAGCCACACUGGAACUGAGACACGGUCCAGAGUCCUACGGGAGGGAGCAGUGGGGAAUAUUGGACAAUGGGCGGAAGCCUGAUCCAGCCAUACGGCGUGGGUGAAGAAGGCCUUCGGGUUGUAAAGCCCUUUUGUUGGUAAAGAAAAGCAGCAGGUUAAUACCCCGCUGUUCUGACGGUACCCAAAGAAUAAGCACCGGCUAACUUCGUG